CUAGUUGGUGAGGUACGGCUUACCAAGGCGACGAUCUGUAGCGGGUCUGAGAGGAUGAUCCGCCACACUGGAACUGAGACACGGUCCAGACUCCUACGGGAGGCAGCAGUGGGGAAUUUUGGACAAUGGGGGCAACCCUGAUCCAGCCAUGCCGCGUGAGUGAAGAAGGCCUUCGGGUUGCAAAGCUCUUUCGGCCGGGAAGAAAUCGCAUGGGCCAAUACCCUGUGUGGAUGACGGUACCGGAAUAAGAAGCACCGGCUAACUACGUGCCAGCAGCCGCGGUAAUACGUAGGGUGCGAGCGUUAAUCGGAAUUACUGGGCGUAAAGCGUGCGCAGGCGGUUUUGUAAGACAGGCGUGAAAUCCCCGGGCUCAACCUGGGAACUGCGUUUGUGACUGCAAGGCUAGAGUACGGCAGAGGGGGGUGGAAUUCCACGUGUAGCAGUGAAAUGCGUAGAGAUGUGGAGGAACACCAAUGGCGAAGGCAGCCCCCUGGGUCGAUACUGACGCUCAUGCACGAAAGCGUGGGUAGCAAACAGGAUUAGAUACCCUGGUAGUCCACGCCCUAAACUAUGUCAACUAGGUGUUGGGUGGGUAAAACCAUUUAGUACCGUAGCUAACGCGUGAAGUUGACCGCCUGGGAGUACGGCCGCAAGGUUAAAACUCAAAGGAAUUGACGGGGACCCGCACAAGCGGUGGAUGAUGUGGAUUAAUUCGAUGCAACGCGAAAAGCCUUACCUACCCUUGACAUGCCAGGAACUUGCCAGAGAUGGCUUGGUGCCCGAAAGGGAGCCUGGACACAGGUGCUGCAUGGCUGUCGUCAGCUCGUGUCGUGAGAUGUUGGGUUAAGUCCCGCAACGAGCGCAACCCUUGUCGUUAAUUGCCAUCAUUUAGUUGGGCACUUUAGCGAGACUGCCGGUGACAAACCGGUGGAAGGUGGGGAUGACGUCAAGUCCUCAUGGCCCUUAUGGGUAGGGCUUCACACGUCAUACAAUGGUCGGUACAGAGGGUCGCCAAGCCGCGAGGUGGAGCCAAUCCCAGAAAGCCGAUCGUAGUCCGGAUUGCAGGCUGCAACUCGCCUGCAUGAAGUCGGAAUCGCUAGUAAUCGUGGAUCAGCAUGUCACGGUGAAUACGUUCCCGGGUCUUGUACACACCGCCCGUCACACCAUGGGAGCGGGUUCCGCCAGAAGUAGGUAGCCUAACCGCAAGGAGGGCGCUUACCACGGCGGGGUUCGUGACUGGGGUGAAGUCGUAACAAGGUAGCCGUAGGGGAACCUGCGGCUG
rnacentral:rRNA from 1 species